rnacentral:lncRNA from 1 species
AGGAUGGAAAGUCUCAUCCCAUUCGUGUUGUGACACUAAGACAAGUAUGUAGGUGCUCAUUAAGGAAAUGAGUUCACUAAACACAAUCGAACGAGAGUACUUGCAUGGAGGUCUACUCACAUGUCAAGCAAGUAACUGUAAUGGUUGGAAUAAUGUAAGUAGUCCUUUGACCUGAGGCAUCGUCGUUAUCUUGUGGCUAAGUACUUAAUCUUUGAUUAUGUCAAAGUCACCCCAUUCGCGGAUGUCCACGGC